UACGGAGGGGCUAGCGUUGUUCGGAAUUACUGGGCGUAAAGCGCACGUAGGCGGCUUUGUAAGUCAGAGGUGAAAUCCCGGGGCUCAACUCCGGAACUGCCUUUGAGACUGCAUCGCUUGAAUCCAGGAGAGGUGAGUGGAAUUCCGAGUGUAGAGGUGAAAUUCGUAGAUAUUCGGAAGAACACCAGUGGCGAAGGCGACUUACUGGACACAUAUUGACGCUGAGGUGGCGAAAAGCGUGGGGAGCAAACAGG
rnacentral:rRNA from 1 species